rnacentral:misc_RNA from 1 species
GGGAAGAGAAGAAAUUCAUUUGAAGCACGACAGGAAAAUGUUGAAAAGGAAUUAAGAGAGAGCAGUAGUAGUAGCUCUCUUCCUCAUUUCAUGCAAGCCACAGAAUCCGCUAGAGCCAAGGCCCAUUCGACCAACUCACCAAGAUCAAGUCCGGAUGUUCAAGAUGGAGAAAUAUACAUGAAGAAAAGGCAUUCCUUACCUGCUGAUGGCCGGCAA